rnacentral:rRNA from 1 species
GGGUUGUGAGGUUAAGCGACUAAGCGUACACGGUGGAUGCCCUGGCAGUCAGAGGCGAUGAAGGACGUGCUAAUCUGCGAUAAGCGUCGGUGAGGUGAUAUGAACCGUUAUAACCGGCGAUUUCCGAAUGGGGAAACCCAGUGUGUUUCGACACACUAUCAUUAACUGAAUCCAUAGGUUAAUGAGGCGAACCGGGGGAACUGAAACAUCUAAGUACCCCGAGGAAAAGAAAUCAACCGAGAUUCCCCCAGUAGCGGCGAGCGAACGGGGAGGAGCCCAGAGCCUGAAUCAGUGUGUGUGUUAGUGGAAGCGUCUGGAAAGGCGCGCGAUACAGGGUGACAGCCCCGUACACAAAAAUGCACAUAUUGUGAGCUCGAUGAGUAGGGCGGGACACGUGGUAUCCUGUCUGAAUAUGGGGGGACCAUCCUCCAAGGCUAAAUACUCCUGACUGACCGAUAGUGAACCAGUACCGUGAGGGAAAGGCGAAAAGAACCCCGGCGAGGGGAGUGAAAAAGAACCUGAAACCGUGUACGUACAAGCAGUGGGAGCCUCUUUAUGGGGUGACUGCGUACCUUUUGUAUAAUGGGUCAGCGACUUAUAUUCUGUAGCAAGGUUAACCGAAUAGGGGAGCCGAAGGGAAACCGAGUCUUAACUGGGCGUUAAGUUGCAGGGUAUAGACCCGAAACCCGGUGAUCUAGCCAUGGGCAGGUUGAAGGUUGGGUAACACUAACUGGAGGACCGAACCGACUAAUGUUGAAAAAUUAGCGGAUGACUUGUGGCUGGGGGUGAAAGGCCAAUCAAACCGGGAGAUAGCUGGUUCUCCCCGAAAGCUAUUUAGGUAGCGCCUCGUGAAUUCAUCUCCGGGGGUAGAGCACUGUUUCGGCAAGGGGGUCAUCCCGACUUACCAACCCGAUGCAAACUGCGAAUACCGGAGAAUGUUAUCACGGGAGACACACGGCGGGUGCUAACGUCCGUCGUGAAGAGGGAAACAACCCAGACCGCCAGCUAAGGUCCCAAAGUCAUGGUUAAGUGGGAAACGAUGUGGGAAGGCCCAGACAGCCAGGAUGUUGGCUUAGAAGCAGCCAUCAUUUAAAGAAAGCGUAAUAGCUCACUGGUCGAGUCGGCCUGCGCGGAAGAUGUAACGGGGCUAAACCAUGCACCGAAGCUGCGGCAGCGACACUAUGUGUUGUUGGGUAGGGGAGCGUUCUGUAAGCCUGUGAAGGUGGCCUGUGAGGGUUGCUGGAGGUAUCAGAAGUGCGAAUGCUGACAUAAGUAACGAUAAAGCGGGUGAAAAGCCCGCUCGCCGGAAGACCAAGGGUUCCUGUCCAACGUUAAUCGGGGCAGGGUGAGUCGACCCCUAAGGCGAGGCCGAAAGGCGUAGUCGAUGGGAAACAGGUUAAUAUUCCUGUACUUGGUGUUACUGCGAAGGGGGGACGGAGAAGGCUAUGUUGGCCGGGCGACGGUUGUCCCGGUUUAAGCGUGUAGGCUGGUUUUCCAGGCAAAUCCGGAAAACCAAGGCUGAGGCGUGAUGACGAGGCACUACGGUGCUGAAGCGACAAAUGCCCUGCUUCCAGGAAAAGCCUCUAAGCAUCAGGUAACAUCAAAUCGUACCCCAAACCGACACAGGUGGUCAGGUAGAGAAUACCAAGGCGCUUGAGAGAACUCGGGUGAAGGAACUAGGCAAAAUGGUGCCGUAACUUCGGGAGAAGGCACGCUGAUAUGUAGGUGAAGCGACUUGCUCGUGGAGCUGAAAUCAGUCGAAGAUACCAGCUGGCUGCAACUGUUUAUUAAAAACACAGCACUGUGCAAACACGAAAGUGGACGUAUACGGUGUGACGCCUGCCCGGUGCCGGAAGGUUAAUUGAUGGGGUUAGCGGUAACGCGAAGCUCUUGAUCGAAGCCCCGGUAAACGGCGGCCGUAACUAUAACGGUCCUAAGGUAGCGAAAUUCCUUGUCGGGUAAGUUCCGACCUGCACGAAUGGCGUAAUGAUGGCCAGGCUGUCUCCACCCGAGACUCAGUGAAAUUGAACUCGCUGUGAAGAUGCAGUGUACCCGCGGCAAGACGGAAAGACCCCGUGAACCUUUACUAUAGCUUGACACUGAACAUUGAGCCUUGAUGUGUAGGAUAGGUGGGAGGCUUUGAAGUGUGGACGCCAGUCUGCAUGGAGCCGACCUUGAAAUACCACCCUUUAAUGUUUGAUGUUCUAACGUUGGCCCGUAAUCCGGGUUGCGGACAGUGUCUGGUGGGUAGUUUGACUGGGGCGGUCUCCUCCUAAAGAGUAACGGAGGAGCACGAAGGUUGGCUAAUCCUGGUCGGACAUCAGGAGGUUAGUGCAAUGGCAUAAGCCAGCUUGACUGCGAGCGUGACGGCGCGAGCAGGUGCGAAAGCAGGUCAUAGUGAUCCGGUGGUUCUGAAUGGAAGGGCCAUCGCUCAACGGAUAAAAGGUACUCCGGGGAUAACAGGCUGAUACCGCCCAAGAGUUCAUAUCGACGGCGGUGUUUGGCACCUCGAUGUCGGCUCAUCACAUCCUGGGGCUGAAGUAGGUCCCAAGGGUAUGGCUGUUCGCCAUUUAAAGUGGUACGCGAGCUGGGUUUAGAACGUCGUGAGACAGUUCGGUCCCUAUCUGCCGUGGGCGCUGGAGAACUGAGGGGGGCUGCUCCUAGUACGAGAGGACCGGAGUGGACGCAUCACUGGUGUUCGGGUUGUCAUGCCAAUGGCACUGCCCGGUAGCUAAAUGCGGAAGAGAUAAGUGCUGAAAGCAUCUAAGCACGAAACUUGCCCCGAGAUGAGUUCUCCCUGACUCCUUGAGAGUCCU